UGGCUUUGCUGGAGGGGGAAAAUGUUUGAAAGUUGUGUCACAGACAUGUUUGAACGGGCAAUUUUCGAAAUUACAAAAUUGUGUGUGUGUGUGUGUGUGUGUGUGUGUGUUUUAAAAAAGCGUAGGGGGAGCAAUCCUUGCCAA